rnacentral:rRNA from 1 species
CCCUUAGAUGUUCUGGGCUGCACACGUGCUACACUGGCAGGUUCAGCGAGCUUCAUGCCCUGAUCUGAAAGGAAUGGGAAAUCUUUUCAAAACCUGCCGUGCUUGGGAUAGAUGUUUGCAAUUAUUCAUCUUCAACGAGGAUUGCCUUGUAAGCGCACGUCAUCAGCGUGCAUUGAAUACGACCCUGUAUUCUGUACACACCGCCCGUCGCUCCUACCGAUUGAAGUUUUCGGUGAGUUGACAGGAGGAUUUUUUUGAACCUGGUUCGCCAGUGGAUUUUAGAUCCAAAUGCCAACGAAUCGAUGGCUUUAGAGGAAGGAGAAGUCGUAACA